rnacentral:misc_RNA from 1 species
AUCUAUUUAGUGCCAUCAUGUUUUUUAUUGGUUUCAAUUUAGUGCCAGCUUCUUAUUUUUGUUGAUGCUUGCCAAACUAUUGAAAAAAUAAGUGAAAAAUGAUAUAUGUUGUUAAUGCCUUCACUUGUGCCAUAUCCUGUGGGUACAUCAGGGAAAACUUCCUACAAAAUCAUUUUGAGAAACAAUGAUUUGUUAUCUUUCAUGCCUGAUGUCUAUGGGUCUUGGUCAAUGAUCCCUAGAAUGGUUUGUUAAUCCAUCUGAUUGUAUUAGAAAUGGACUUAG